UCCAACGAGCCUUUCCCCUUUUCAAAACACUGAGCUAGUUAGAUUCCAGACCAACCGCAUGAUUUCAUCUUAAAAGCGCAAUAUUGAACUACAUGACAAAUUCAAAUGGAUAUUGAAAGGUAUUUGCCUGGUGAAGGCAGGAAGGUACCUAUAUACACCAUGACCCACGCGACGAGUAUGUUCUUCUCGAAGAUUCCAGUUUCCACUGCUUUCAUCUAUCUCUUCUGUCAAGGCCAAGUGGAGGCUGCCUGUACUGAAGAUAUCACCGUCCCACUGUCAACGCACAUCAUUCCAAACUCCUUGAAAUAUUUCACAGGUCGGUUUAUCGACGUCUGGGUCUCCAAACAUUUAACCGACAUACUCAACGGCUCCUUUUCAGAAACCUUCAAAAAUGGAACCACAAAUAGUUAUGUUUUGUACAAAAAUGGGCAAGGCUUCAUGUCUUCUGCUCAGCUGACGCUGGAAAAUAGCGGAAUCAUUAAUGUUAAUGUUGACGGUACCAACAUGACUGGGCUGAUCUUUCCCGUCUACAUCAGUGUGCCGGUGCUGGGAUACUAUAACUGUUACCCUAAUGUUAAGGGCCCAGGUAUUUCAACCAUUACCGUGAGAGCGGAAAGUUUACAGAAUGCUGCUACCUUUGAAUCUGUAUACGAAGCUAAAGCCACCUUCAGACAUCUUCAGGAACUAGGCAUCCUUAUCAAUGACGGCGUUGACUACACUGAUACUCCUCCAGUUUAGCCUACAGCUGCUUGUCACACUGGAUCUGUAUGGAUGGUGUUCGAUGUUCAUCUUCGUUAAGACUUUACUCCAUCGACAAUUUUCCACUACAUCAAUUCUACCCUUCCUGAUACGUAGUAAAUCCUGGACUGAGUGGAUGGCAGUGACAAUGAUCUGUCUGGGGUAGUGAGCAUCCAUCACAUCACCUGGUGGUGACACUAGUGACGUAAUUAUAGUACUUGACAACACCUACAUCAGUGAGAUGACACCUGCAUGCCUGAAGCGAUCACUCUACUAGUUAUGCUCAUUGUGGUAGGCAUUAUGAAUUCAUAAACAUUUUUUGCGAUACGUGACAUUUACACCGCUAAUAUUUGUUGUGUAGUGUUCAUUUAACCAUCAUUUUUUGUGUCUUAAAAACUUUCAUAAUUAACGUUCUGUGCUUUUUUGCAAUAUUUGUUUUUCAAAAUUAGGAUGUAAUGUUAGACUUG